GCAGUAGCCGCGGUAAUACAGAGGGUGCAAGCGUUAAUCGGAAUUACUGGGCGUAAAGCGCGCGUAGGUGGUUUGUUAAGUUGGAUGUGAAAUCCCCGGGCUCAACCUGGGAACUGCAUCCAAAACUGGCAAGCUAGAGUAUGGUAGAGGGUGGUGGAAUUUCCUGUGUAGCGGUGAAAUGCGUAGAUAUAGGAAGGAACACCAGUGGCGAAGGCGACCACCUGGACUGAUACUGACACUGAGGUGCGAAAGCGUGGGGAGCAAACAGGAUUAGAGACCCCUGUAGUCCCUGUCUCUUAUAC
rnacentral:rRNA from 1 species